rfam:Hordeum vulgare subsp. vulgare, WGS project CAJW01000000 data, contig: morex_contig_1563709
CCGAUCGACGAUGAUGAACUGAUCUCCUACAUCAUCGUCGGGCUGGACAUGGAAUACCAGCCCCUUGUCUGUGCCAACUACGCCCGCAUCAACACCAUCAGCCUCGAUGACCUCUUCGCUUAGAUGAGCAACUUUCAUC